rnacentral:tRNA from 1 species
AGGGAAUAAUGAGAGAAUAAAGUAGGGCUGCUAACUUUACUUUGAGUGGUUUAACUCCAUUCUUUUCCUU